rnacentral:tRNA from 1 species
AAGGGAGACCUAAUUCAGGUAGGAGACGAAAAAAAGUAGUCCCUACCAAGAAUCAAUCCCAAAAGGUCGGAGCGAGGCAAAAUUGGCUUUCAAACUAGGUUCUGGGUUCACACAAGACCUGAAUCAGGAACAAGGGCUAUUAGCUCAGGUGGUUAGAGCGCACCCCUGAUAAGGGUGAGGUCCCUGGUUCGAGUCCAGGAUGGCCCACCUGCACAGGUGGAAGAAAGAAAAGAAGCUCCGAAUCAGCACCUUAUCUUACUUAUAUAGUAAGAGAGAAUGCUGGCUCUGAGUACAGAGUCCAGAGGAACCUUGAAAACUGCAUAGAGCUAGGUGAAGAAGCCAAAAAAGAAGACCGCAAGGUCAAGCUAAUAAGGGCUAACGGUGGAUACCUAGGCAC